GACGAACGCUGGCGGCGUGCUUAACACAUGCAAGUCGAGCGGAAAGGCCACUUCGGUGGUACUCGAGCGGCGAACGGGUGAGUAACACGUGAGUAAUCUGCCCCUGGCUUUGGGAUAGCCACCGGAAACGGUGAUUAAUACCGGAUAUGACCAUCUUUCGCAUGAUUGGUGGUGGAAAGUUUUUCGGCCAGGGAUGUGCUCGCGGCCUAUCAGCUUGAUGGUGAGGUAAUGGCUCACCAUGGCUUCGACGGGUAGCCGGCCUGAGAGGGUGACCGGCCACACUGGGACUGAGACACGGCCCAGACUCCUACGGGAGGCAGCAGUGGGGAAUACUGGACAAUGGGCGGAAGCCUGAUCCAGCAACGCCGCGUGAGGGAUGACGGCCUUCGGGUUGUAAACCUCUUUCAGCAGGGACGAAGCGCAAGUGACGGUACCUGCAGAAGAAGCACCGGCCAACUACGUGCCAGCCACCGCAGUAACAC
rnacentral:rRNA from 1 species